UACGUAGGUGACAAGCGUUGUCCGGAUUUACUGGGCGUAAAGAGCGCGCAGGCGGUCGAUCAAGUCGAGUGUGAAAGCCCCCGGCUCAACUGGGGAGGGUCAUUCGAUACUGAUCGACUCGAAGGCAGGAGAGGGUAGUGGAAUUCCGGUGUAGCGGUGAAAUGCGCAGAUAGUCGGAGGAACACCGGUGGCGAAGGCGGUUCUCUGGGCCUGUACUGACGCUGAGGAGCGAAAGCGUGGGGAGCGAACAGGAUUGAGAUACCCGUAGUAAGCUCCAG
rnacentral:rRNA from 1 species